UUGCAUUCACACUUCACGGUAUCUUAUUGAAUAAGAUACCGUGAAGUGUGAAUGCAAAGAGAAACGAGAAGAAACCCACCGGCAGAAAUCCUUUACACUC